GAGUCCUGUGUUAAGAAAGCACAUAACUUUUUACAAAAGCAUCAUAAUUUAUCUCUUUUGACAUCACAAGAAGGUUAAUUCAGUCAUUUCUCUUCUAUGUAUCUACUCUAUUCAUAGAAAAAUACCUGGGAGUAGAGAGAGAAAUAGGUGUGGUGGGAGCGUGAGAAGUAACAUACGACUUUUCUAUCAAAGGAAAUCUUGGUUACUUCACUUUGCUCUAGUUUUGGCUGAAAUGCCCUCCUGCGACCCCCUCUUCUUUCCCUCUUCUCCCAGCAACAGUUUGUUUCAAAUUAGCCAACCGGGAAGAAUGCACGCCUUGACCUGACCAAUGGGAAGGGGACAGGUACAUCGCCUGCAUUAGGGAUAAAUAGGGAGGGUCUUUUCUUCUUUGCACGUGCUUUUUGAGCACCCACAUCCUUCUGCAGAAGUAAAGAGCCUUGUUGAGAUCUGCCCAUGUUCGUGUGUCUCAUUUUCUGACACUGACCAUCCGAGCCUUUCUCCAAGAGGAGGUGUCUGUAAAUGAGGUAGACAUUAGGCAAAGGUAGACCUCACAAACUUAACCACAUCUCCCCUUGUGUUAUCCAUCUAGCACAUUUCCAGAUAUGUCAUUUCUGUUCUGUGUGGUGUGAGCCAGAGAACCCAGUGUUGGGUCAGUGCCUCAUUACCUUCCACUAUUCUAGGGGCAUCUGGCUGUACCGUUCAAGUUCAGGGCCUCUGCCAGGCCCUUUCUCCAAGUCUAUUUCUCUAGAUAACACACUAUGGAAAUGGAGCAGCAGUGCUUUCAAGUGUGUGGAAUACUUAACUGUACAUGAUAAAGUUAAUAUAGCUGUCGUUUCCACACACUUCUUGUUUGUGAUUAUGUUUCAAGUAAGCAUAGUAACAGCAAUCUUAAAAACCCUGUGGCAAAAGUGAAGAGAGUUAGAGCACUUCCCUGAUGUAAUAUUCUGAAAUAACAUUUUUGCAGCUUCCCCUUAUUACUGAGGGCGUGUAUGGUAAUAUAUCAUUUUCGAAAAUUCGAUUGCAUUCUCCAGAAAGGUAACAUGAAAUUUUUUUAUACUAUUUCAAUUAUCUCUUUCAUCCUCACAUUAUAAUUCUGGGGUUAGAUUUCCAUAGGGAGGACCACAGCACUCAAAACAUGUGGAGAAGAAAAAUGUAGGUGACAUAGCUUCCCUUUUUCUGCUUUGGCAAGCACAUCAAGUAUUUUUUCUAACAUCAUUUGAGAUAUAAAAAUGUAUUCAACACACUCAAAAAAUAAAUUCUUAGGCGGUGAUUUCAGAAAGGGUUUAAGCACAUGAGACUUUUCAUGUGAUUUAUUUAUUUUGGAAAUAGUUAUUGAGCCUUACUAUAUGACUGGUAUUCUAAGCAACGUGCACAAAUUCGUAAGUGUCCCUCAUGAGUCUGUAUGAACUGUGCAUAAGGAAACAGGACGUGCAGAAAGACGACACACAAGUAAAAUACAAGAUCGCAGUAGGUGCUAUGAAGACAUUGAAGUGGGUGUGGUGAUAUCCGUUGGCUGGAUGCAGUAGAGUAGGAAGGUUUGAGCAUCUGAGUAGUCAGGGAAGGCGACCCAGGCCUGAGUAGUAGGAAGGUCAGGAAUCGAACCUACAUCCUCAUGGAUGCUGGUCAAAUUUGUUAACUACUGAGUCACAACGGGAACUCCAGGGAUUCCUUCUUUAGGUUUUGGUCUGACCGGGUAUGAGGUAGGAAUGGUUACUGAGAAGGGAUACUCAAGAUGGGGGAGAGAACAAAUUGGAUCGGAAUAAAGGUCCAUGGGAAUGAGGUGUAAGCUACCUGAACACUGUGCUCAGUUGAGAAGAGUUAGUUUUGCUGCGGCUGGUGACAUCCUUUCGUAGAGGUUAUGGAAAGGAAAGGAAUGACGACCUUUCAUUUUCAUAGGCUUCUUCAGGCCAGGGAAAUUCCUGAUGCUCUACUUUGUCCCCAGGGAAGCAUGUGGCACAUUCCCGUAAGACAUAGAAUGAAAUAAAAUGAUCUCAUUGAUUUCCGACUCAAGGCUCUCAUCCUCAUCCACAUGCUUUACUUCCCAUUGUCUGCUUGUCAGCCUGAGCUCUGCCUAAACACCUCUUACCCCUGCCCGUCCUUCUCUGGACCAUUAUAACUCCUGUGUCUGUCCUUCACCAUCUCUUCUCCCCGGAAAAACUGCUUCUUACAUUCAUCAGAUUUCCGGAACCCAUAUCCUUUAAGACCUUAAGAGGGUGCUUUGAGGAGUUCCCGUCAUGGCUCAGUGGUGAACGAAUCCAACUAGGAACCAUGCAUGAGGUUGCAGGUUCCAUCCCUGGCCUUGCUCAGUGGGUUAAGGAUCCGGCAUUUCUGUGAGCUGUGGUGUAGGUCACAGACGCAGCUCGGAUCCUGGGUUGCUGUGGCUCUGGCUGAAGGAAUCUGGUUCAUGGAGAAGCUGGUCGCUAUCUUUCCAAAUAAUAGUACCACAGAGGGAAAGGAAAUAAAGGUUUCAGCACAAUAAUGAAGUUUUAUUGUGCAGUGUCGAAGCACCUGUUAACUAUGUAUUGACUUAAUGGGGCUUCUGAUUUACACUGCUCAGUCCUAAAUAGAACGAAAUGAUUAAAAACAGUACAUUCAUUAGCAGCAGGACUGAUUACUUCUUCUGAGUGAAGACUAAAUUUGCCACCAAGACUGAGAAAUUUGUCUCUUGACAGACUAUUUAAGAGCAGUUAUCUUCCCUGAAUCUACCACCUCCUUUUGUGGUCAUUUUCUUAUUAUUGGGAACUAGAAGAAAUUCGCAAUUCAAUCAUUCUAUGACAUUCCUCUUUGUAAAUGGGACCUUCUCUGUCAUUUCUUGAUCAGUGAAGAAUCAGAGAGUAAAUGACUCAUUCCUGAGUUGUUAAUGCAGAACCUUUUUUAAUUUAAUCAUUUUGAGACAGUCAUGGGUAGUUAUUUAGCUCUGCCAAUUCUUUGUAAGUCAUGAGCCUGCCUAGGCAGGAGAUGUUGAGGAACUUGUUGAAUUAUGCAAAGUUAGGUUCAAAAAGUCAAUCUUGAUUUACAGCUGUUGCAUGAACAAUUCAGUGCAGGCUCAGUGAAGCACAUCAUCUGCAAAUAAUACUGUACUUGUAUAGAAACAGCCGAACAGAAGGAGACUUCAUUGUAUAUGAUUAACGUACAGUGCUUUAUAAAGUGUGAAGCACUCUACUGAUACAAAACAGAAUUUAUAGGCCGCAUUUAUAAGACCAUGGGCGAACCUAUCUCAAGGAUAAUGAGGAGUUCUAGUGAUGUCCAAGAGGAAAGGGGGCCUUACUUUCUCGAAUAGAGGUAAAUAUCUCAGUUAUACUUAAUCUAUACCCUGCUUCACAGGUUUCCACAUUUUGUUGAUUAUGGCAAUGAGAGCAAUUUCACUAGCUAUUAAAUCCUGUGGACAUUAAAUACCAACCAUUGUAAAGUUACAAGGAAUCAAAGAUGUAGUCCUUAGGAAUUCCUCAGAUUUUGUUCUCCUUCCAAAUUGAUUCCCAAUAGACAAAUUGCUUUGCUAAAUCAGAGGACUCUGCAGAGAAGGGAAUGUGUAUACACUUAAGCAUCAUUUUUGUUUCUCCUUUUUCUGGCUUAUCCUUGGCAAGCAGCAUAACUCUGCUUCUGCCCCCAUGUAAGGGGACUCUUCGGCCCUUUCUUUUGGGGACAGAAUUUUAGAGAUCUCAAUAAGGUGUCUGAAAUUACAAAUUAUAAUAUUGAAAGGGAGUAGGAAAUUGCUGCCCAGUGGAAUCAUGGCUCGGUCACAGUGCUCUACUUGAUGCAUAUAUUUUGGAGUGUUAAGUAGAUAGGAGAGACAGAGGCACAUAUUUAAUAGGUUGUUCAGACCACAUGCUCCCCGAGGGUAGGGGCAGGGGAGGGAAACUGAGGCAGAAGCCUGGGGACAUGGAUGUGGUCCAUACAGAGAUGGUUGCAACCAGGUGGCAGGUAGUGGGCAGGCAAGUACAGAAGAGUCAGGCAAGUAACCAGAAGAAUCCCUGUUGUCAGGUGAUUGCCUCUACUCUACAGUUGCUGCCCUGAUUACCUCGAGCUCAGGAACUGAGAGGCUGAGCUGCCUUCAGGUUACUUGGGUUCUGAAGCUGAGAAGCAUAAGGAAGGCAGAUUCAUGACUUGCUACGAGAGAGAUAUAAUGUUACAACCCAGUGUAAUGUCACAAAUUCUCAGUAAAAAUACCAACAAAAGGCCUGUGCUGGGAGUGUUAAUUACGCCAUGAAAAUGCCCUUCUCUUCUUUCUGAGUGUACCUUUUUUUGUUCUGUUUCUAUUUGACUAUCUCCUAUGUGUCGCUGUGAAGACCUUUCUUUCCAUCAUACUUUUUUUUCAUCAUCUUUUUUCUUCUGUUUCAAUGUCUUUCUCUGUGAACUCCUUUUAUUUAUCUUCUUUUUAAAUAAUCUCUUCCUUAAACAGAGACAGUACAAAGCUGAAAUGUAUGGUGUGUGUGCCGACAUGCACUUUAGUUUUGUUUUGUUUUUUUUUGAUUAAAGUAUAGUCGAUUUAUAGUGUUCUGUCAGUUUCCACUGUAUAGCAUAGUGACCCAGCUAUACAUAUACAUACAUUCCUUUCCUCAUACUAUCUUCUGUCAUGUUCUAUCCCAAGAGAUUGGAUAUAGUUCCCUGUGCUGUACAGUAGGACCUCAUUGCUUAUCCAUUCUAAAUGUAAUAGUUUGCAUCUGUUAACCCCAAACUCCCGGUCCAUCCCAUUCCCUUCUCCCUCCCCCUACAUUUUAGUUUUUUAUUGUAUUUUGGAUAAUAAAACACAAUAUUGGAAAUUUUAUUUCUUGUUCUUAAAAACAGAAGAGUUAAAUACUCUAUUUCCCUAAUUUUAGAAAAUAUUAAAUUAAAUAUUUGCUUUUGUCUUGG
rnacentral:lncRNA from 1 species